AGUUGCUCAUAUGACUGACGGAAGUGGAAUGAACCACAGGGAAAUAUGAGGAUUUGAUUAUUUAGCCGACCGUCUGGGCGAUUCAG
rnacentral:ncRNA from 2 species